rnacentral:tRNA from 1 species
AGACAACAAAAUGUUUAAUAUUAUUAUUUUGUCACCUUAGGUCGAUCGGUAUCUCACGUUUUUAAUUUAUUAAGAAUUUCAUUUCCUAAGUUUUUCUAGGUCACACCCAUUAUUUUUCCUGGGCCAUUAGCUCAGGUGGUUAGAGCGCACCCCUGAUAAGGGUGAGGUCCCUGGUUCAAGUCCAGGAUGGCCCAUAUCUCUAUGUUGGGGGUAUAGCUCAGUUGGUAGAGCGCCUGCUUUGCAAGCAGGAUGUCAGCGGUUCGAGUCCGCUUACCUCCACUGAUUACCACCUCUUCCAUAACUGGUAGAAAGGAAAUGUUUUGAGUUGUGAUCAAAUUCUGAAAGAAUCUAGCUUCCUAAUGAAAUCAUUAAGAUGCUGGACUCAUUGAAUUAAUUUCAUUGUUUUCAGAGAACCUUGACAACUGCAUAGAUUAUUUUUAAAGACAAUAAGCAUCUUUAUGAUGCAGAUUUAUUAUUUGUGCGAAUGCAUUAAUAACAAUUCUAUUAAGCUGAUGCUUCAAUUUUUGAAGUUAUU